rnacentral:rRNA from 1 species
UGGGUUAAGUCCCGCAACGAGCGCAACCCCUGCUCUUAGUUGCCAUCAGGUUAUGCUGGGCACUCUAAGAGGACUGCCGGUGACAAACCGGAGGAAGGUGGGGAUGACGUCAAGUCCUCAUGGCCUUUAUGUCCAGGGCUACACACGUAAUACAAUGGCCGGUACAAAGAGUCGCAAACCCGCGAGGGGGAGCCAAUCUCAGAAAGCCGCUCUCAGUUCGGAUUGCAGUCUGCAACUCGACUGCAUGAAGCUGGAAUCGCUAGUAAUCGCUGAUCAGCAAGCAGUGGUGAAUACGUUCCCGGGCCUUGUACACACCGCCCGUCACAUCACGAAAGCCAGUUGUACUAGAAGCCGGUAAUUUAACCGCAAGGAGAUAGCCGUCCAAGGUAUGACUGGUGAUUGGGGUG